rnacentral:rRNA from 1 species
CAGCAGCCGCGGGAAUACGUAGGUGGCAAGCGUUGUCCGGAAUUAUUGGGCGUAAAGCGCGCGCAGGUGGUUUAAUAAGUCUGAUGUGAAAGCCCACGGCUCAACCGUGGAGGGUCAUUGGAAACUGUUAAACUUGAGUGCAGGAGAGAAAAGUGGAAUUCCUAGUGUAGCGGUGAAAUGCGUAGAGAUUAGGAGGAACACCAGUGGCGAAGGCGGCUUUUUGGCCUGUAACUGACACUGAGGCGCGAAAGCGUGGGGAGCAAACAGGAUUAGAUACCCCUGUAGUCCCUGUCUCUUAUAU